AGUGAGUGCACUUAUUAGACUGUUUGUUAGAAUGUUGUCCACAGAUCAUUAGGCUAUUCUUAUAUAUAAAAGAAAAUUGUGCUCACCCCUAAUUUUUCUUUGGCCUGUGCUGUGUAUAUACUGACAACCUACAGGCAACACAGUCAGAGUGUGCCAGCAGACUUGGGGUUAAAGGAGAAGCAAAUAGUUUUUUUUCCAAAAAGUUCAGCACUUCUCGACACAACGGUGUUUUGAGCUCCCGGUGGAGCCUUCUUAUUUUGUUUCUUCCCUGUUCUCUGUAAAAUGGCAGAAAUUGGCACAGUGGGCACCAAAUGAACUGCGUUUCAAUUAUUACAGUUUCCUUCAGCGAGAAACAGAAGGAGCAGCUGAGAAAAUUCACAAACAAGACACAUUUGCUUGAUAAGAAAACACAACAACGCCUACCUGGGGCUGAUCGAUCUCCUCCUGGCCUACUGCUAUGAAGUGCGCGUUACGGAGUGCGAUAGAAUCGUGGAAUCUGCAUGGAACACAAGGAAGAAUUCCACGUGUAUAAAGGACAUUGUGGUUUCAUUUGGGAGACGAGUUUUAAGUUAUCGACUUUAUAGGCACUUCCAGCUUGUGGAAAAAGCACUUGCAGACAACGGAUUCACUGGGUAAAGCUGCUGUUCUGAAAUGCUAUAUUACAAGAGAAUGACCCAGCAUACAUCCUAAAUGACCUCUUCAUUACAGACUAUUGCAUAUGGAUUCCAGGUUAGAAACCUGCCCAAUAAAUAUCUGCCUGGCUUCCACUAUGAAGGGUUUCUUUGUAGAUGAGGAUGGAACACUGCUAGACGCUUAAUCUCAUACUUUUGGGUGAGACUUGAAGCUUCAGACCUGGUAGAGCACUUGCAAAUUUCUACCAACAGACAUCAAUACGUAAGUAGCCACCAGUCCGGAAUGAGAUGUUGCUCCCAGUGGACCUUAUUAGAACAUUUCUGUCACUGAGUUUCACACGCCGGUUGGACGCAGCAUUGAAUGACUGUCAUUUCUAGUGAAGGGUUUUGCAUGGCUAACUAGCUAGCUGAUCUCUCUUGCUUCCCUAAUUGAAUAAAUAAGGCAGCUUCCAUUU